UUAAGCGACUAAGCGUACACGGUGGAUGCCCUGGCAGUCAGAGGCGAUGAAGGACGUGCUAAUCUGCGAAAAGCGUCGGUAAGGUGAUAUGAACCGUUAUAACCGGCGAUGUCCGAAUGGGGAAACCCAGUGCAAUUCGUUGCACUAUCGUUAACUGAAUACAUAGGUUAACGAGGCGAACCGGGGGAACUGAAACAUCUAAGUACCCCGAGGAAAAGAAAUCAACCGAGAUUCCCCCAGUAGCGGCGAGCGAACGGGGAGCAGCCCAGAGUCUGAAUCAGCUUGUGUGUUAGUGGAACGGUCUGGAAAGUCCGACGGUACAGGGUGAUAGUCCCGUACACCAAAAUGCACAGGCUGUGAACUCGAAGAGUAGGGCGGGACACGUGGUAUCCUGUCUGAAUAUGGGGGGACCAUCCUCCAAGGCUAAAUACUCCUGACUGACCGAUAGUGAACCAGUACCGUGAGGGAAAGGCGAAAAGAACCCCGGCGAGGGGAGUGAAAAAGAACCUGAAACCGUGUACGUACAAGCAGUGGGAGCACCUUCGGGUGUGACUGCGUACCUUUUGUAUAAUGGGUCAGCGACUUAUAUUCUGUAGCAAGGUUAACCGUAUAGGGGAGCCGCAGGGAAACCGAGUCUUAACUGGGCGUUAAGUUGCAGGGUAUAGACCCGAAACCCGGUGAUCUAGCCAUGGGCAGGUUGAAGGUUGGGUAACACUAACUGGAGGACCGAACCGACUAAUGUUGAAAAAUUAGCGGAUGACUUGUGGCUGGGGGUGAAAGGCCAAUCAAACCGGGAGAUAGCUGGUUCUCCCCGAAAGCUAUUUAGGUAGCGCCUCGUGAAUUCAUCUUCGGGGGUAGAGCACUGUUUCGGCUAGGGGGUCAUCCCGACUUACCAACCCGAUGCAAACUACGAAUACCGAAGAAUGUUAUCACGGGAGACACACGGCGGGUGCUAACGUCCGUCGUGAAGAGGGAAACAACCCAGACCGCCAGCUAAGGUCCCAAAGUCAUGGUUAAGUGGGAAACGAUGUGGGAAGGCACAGACAGCCAGGAUGUUGGCUUAGAAGCAGCCAUCAUUUAAAGAAAGCGUAAUAGCUCACUGGUCGAGUCGGCCUGCGCGGAAGAUGUAACGGGGCUAAACCAUGCACCGAAGCUGCGGCAGCGACACUAUGUGUUGUUGGGUAGGGGAGCGUUCUGUAAGCCUGCGAAGGUGACCUGUGAGGGUUGCUGGAGGUAUCAGAAGUGCGAAUGCUGACAUAAGUAACGAUAAAGCGGGUGAAAAGCCCGCUCGCCGGAAGACCAAGGGUUCCUGUCCAACGUUAAUCGGGGCAGGGUGAGUCGACCCCUAAGGCGAGGCCGAAAGGCGUAGUCGAUGGGAAACAGGUUAAUAUUCCUGUACUUGGUGUUACUGCGAAGGGGGGACGGAGAAGGCUAUGUUAGCCGGGCGACGGUUGUCCCGGUUUAAGCAUGUAGGCUGGUUAUCCAGGCAAAUCCGGAUAAUCAAGGCUGAGGUGUGAUGACGAGGCACUACGGUGCUGAAGUAACAAAUGCCCUGCUUCCAGGAAAAGUCUCUAAGCAUCAGGUAACAUCAAAUCGUACCCCAAACCGACACAGGUGGUCAGGUAGAGAAUACCAAGGCGCUUGAGAGAACUCGGGUGAAGGAACUAGGCAAAAUGGUGCCGUAACUUCGGGAGAAGGCACGCUGGUGUGUAGGUGAAGCCCCUGCGGGUGGAGCCGAGACCAGUCGAAGAUACCAGCUGGCUGCAACUGUUUAUUAAAAACACAGCACUGUGCAAACACGAAAGUGGACGUAUACGGUGUGACGCCUGCCCGGUGCCGGAAGGUUAAUUGAUGGGGUUAUCCGUAAGGAGAAGCUCUUGAUCGAAGCCCCGGUAAACGGCGGCCGUAACUAUAACGGUCCUAAGGUAGCGAAAUUCCUUGUCGGGUAAGUUCCGACCUGCACGAAUGGCGUAAUGAUGGCCAGGCUGUCUCCACCCGAGACUCAGUGAAAUUGAACUCGCUGUGAAGAUGCAGUGUACCCGCGGCAAGACGGAAAGACCCCGUGAACCUUUACUAUAGCUUGACACUGAACAUUGAGCCUUGAUGUGUAGGAUAGGUGGGAGGCUUUGAAGCGUGGACGCCAGUCUGCGUGGAGCCAACCUUGAAAUACCACCCUUUAAUGUUUGAUGUUCUAACGUUGGCCCCUGAUCGGGGUUGCGGACAGUGUCUGGUGGGUAGUUUGACUGGGGCGGUCUCCUCCCAAAGCGUAACGGAGGAGCACGAAGGUUAGCUAAUCCUGGUCGGACAUCAGGAGGUUAGUGCAAUGGCAUAAGCUAGCUUGACUGCGAGCGUGACGGCGCGAGCAGGUGCGAAAGCAGGUCAUAGUGAUCCGGUGGUUCUGAAUGGAAGGGCCAUCGCUCAACGGAUAAAAGGUACUCCGGGGAUAACAGGCUGAUACCGCCCAAGAGUUCAUAUCGACGGCGGUGUUUGGCACCUCGAUGUCGGCUCAUCACAUCCUGGGGCUGAAGUAGGUCCCAAGGGUAUGGCUGUUCGCCAUUUAAAGUGGUACGCGAGCUGGGUUUAGAACGUCGUGAGACAGUUCGGUCCCUAUCUGCCGUGGGCGCUGGAGAAUUGAGGGGGGCUGCUCCUAGUACGAGAGGACCGGAGUGGACGCAUCACUGGUGUUCGGGUUGUCAUGCCAAUGGCACUGCCCGGUAGCUAAAUGCGGAAGAGAUAAGUGCUGAAAGCAUCUAAGCACGAAACUUGCCCCGAGAUGAGUUCUCCCUGAGACUUUAAGUCUCCUGAAGGAACGUUGAAGACGACGACGUUGAUAGGCCGGGUGUGUAAGCGCAGCGAUGCGUUGAGCUAACCGGUACUAAUGAACCGUGAGGCUUAACCUU
rnacentral:rRNA from 1 species